rnacentral:rRNA from 1 species
GGCUCAGUAACACGUCGUCAACCUACCCUGGGGAGGGAGAUAACCUCGGGAAACUGAGGACAAUAUUCCAUAGGUGAGGGAGGCUGGAAUGCACCCUUGCCGAAAGCCUUCGGGUACCCUAGGAUGGGACGGCGGCCUAUCAGGUAGUUGGCGGUGUAACGGACCACCAAGCCUACGACGGGUACGGGCGAUGGGAGUCGGAGCCCGGAGAUGGGGACUGAGACAAGGCCCCAGGCCCUACGGGGCGCAGCAGGCGCGAAACCUUCGCAAUGCGCGAAAGCGUGACGAGGGAACCCCAAGUGCCGUUGGAUUUUAUUCGACGGCUUUUUUGAAGUCCAAACAGCUUCAGGAAUAAGGGCUGGGUAAGUCGGGUGCCAGCCGCCGCGGUAAUACCCGCAGCCCGAGUGGUGGCCGGGAUUAUUGGGCCUAAAGCGCUCGUAGCCGGGUCUGCAAGUCCCUUGUGAAAUCGGCCAGGAGACUGGUCGGCGUGCGAGGGAUACUGCAGGUCUAGAGGCCGGGAGACGCCAAGGGUACUUCGGGGGUAGCAGUGAAAUGCUCUAAUCCUCGAGGGACCACCAGUGGCGAAGGCGCUUGGCGAGAACGGACCUGACGGUGAGGGGCGAAGGCUAGGGGAGCGAACGGGAUUAGAUACCCCGGUAGUCCUAGCUGUAAAGGAUGCGGGCCAGGUGUUGAUUGCCCCUAGAGGGCAUUCGGUGCCGGAGGGAAGUCGUUAAGCCCGCCGCCUGGGAAGUACGGCCGCAAGGCUGAAACUUAAAGAAAUUGGCGGGGGAGCACUACAAGAGGUGGGACCUGCGGUUCAAUUGGAUUCAACGCCGGAAAACUCACCAGGGGCGACAGCGGAAUGAAUAUCAGGCCGACGACCUUAUUGGACUAGCUGAGAGGUGGUGCAUGGCCGUCGUCAGCUCGUACCGUGAGGCGUCCUGUUAAGUCAGGCAACGAGCGAGACCCUCGCCUUUAGUUGCCAACAGUGUGAAGCUGGGCACUCUAAAGGGACCGCUGGCGCUAAGUCAGAGGAAGGAGAGGGCGACGGUAGGUCAGUAUGCCCCGAAUCCCCUGGGCUACACGCGGGUCACAAUGCGCAGGACAAUAGGAUGCAACCCCGAAAGGGGAAGCCAAACCUCUAAACCUGCGCUUAGUUCGGAUCGAGGGCUGCAACUCGCCCUCGUGAAGCUGGAAUCUCUAGUAAUCGCGGGCCA